rnacentral:tRNA from 1 species
GGCUUUAUAUUCAAAAAUGAUAUUAAAUUGCAAAUUUAAAGGUGUAAAAAACUAAAGC